rnacentral:rRNA from 1 species
CGGACGGGUGAGUAACACGUGGAUAACCUACCUAUAAGACUGGGAUAACUUCGGGAAACCGGAGCUAAUACCGGAUAAUAUUUUGAACCGCAUGGUUCAAAAGUAAAAGACGGUCUUGCUGUCACUUAUAGAUGGAUCCGCGCUGCAUUAGCUAGUUGGUAAGGUAACGGCUUACCAAGGCAACGAUGCAUAGCCGACCUGAGAGGGUGAUAGGCCACACUGGAACUGAGACACGGUCCAG